rnacentral:lncRNA from 1 species
UUUAAACUGGGCAUUGAACCAAGGAACAUUUUAUCACUAAGCUACAUCCCAAAUGUGAUGGAAUAUGUGAAUAUAAACAUUCAAAAAGCUCAGUGAAAUUCAAGUAAGAUGAACUCAGAGACCCACAUUACAAUGCAUUAUAAUCAAAUUUUCAAAGUAAAAAAUAGAAUCCUGUUAGCAGCAAGAGAGGUGACUUGUUACAUAUAAGGGAUCCUUCCUCCACAAGAUUAUCAAAUUUCUCAAGAUAAAUCAAUGGUGGCCAAUAGUCAAUGAUCCAGUGCUACAUUUUAGAUCUUAAUUGUCUCUCAAAGGACAUGUGUUGAAAGUUUGGUCACUGUCCUGUAGCACUUUGGGGAGAUGAUGCAACUUUUAUGAAGUGGGGCCUAGUGGAAGGAAGUUAUGUCACUAGGGGUAUGCCCUUAGAGGAGAUAUUGGGACCCUAACCCCUUUCACUCUUUCCUUCCCAGCUGCCAUGAAGAGAACAGAGUUCCUCUGCCACAUGCUCGCUGCCAUAAUGUAUCUUUAUAUGCAGGCAAAACUGUUUUUCAAAAUUGAGGGUUAAAUUUUUUUCUUUAUCUAGGAAGAUAAAAGUCAUUACUAUUAUACCUGGCUUGCAAGAAAUGUUCAAUGGAGCCCAGCAAAGAGAAAUGAAAUAUUACAACACAGUAACUUGAAACCAUAGGAAGAGAUAAAGAU